GGCCUUGGGGUGUUACAUGUAAGAUUGCAAAUCUUAAGAAGCAGGCUAAGCCCCUGCCGAGGCUU
rnacentral:tRNA from 1 species